rnacentral:tRNA from 3 species
GCGCCUGUAGCUCAGCUGGAUAGAGCGUUGGCCUCCGGAGCCAAAGGUCGAAGGUUCGAAUCCUUUCAGGCGCACCA